ensembl:rRNA 5S_rRNA 5S ribosomal RNA
CCUUACGGCCAUACCACCCUGAGCACGCCCGAUCUCGUCUGAUCUCGGAAGCUAAGCAAGGUCGGGCCUGGUUAGUACUUGGAUAAGAGACCGCCUGGGAAUACCAGGUGCUGUAAGCU